CUGCUGCCUCCCGUAGGAGUUUGGGCCGUGUCUCAGUCCCAAUGUGGCCGGUCACUCUCUCAAGCCGGCUACUGAUCGUCGCUUUGGUAGGCUUUUACCCUGCCAACUGGCUAAUCAGACGCGGGCCCAUCCUGUACCUAUAAAUAUUUGAUAGAUAUAUCAUGCGGUAUCUCUAUAUCAUGCGGUUUUAAGCAGUCGUUUCCAACCUGUUAUCCCCCGUGUACAGGGCAGGUUACCCCACGCGUUACUCACCCGUCCG
rnacentral:rRNA from 1 species